rnacentral:lncRNA from 1 species
GUCCAUCCAAAACAUUCCUGCUUCUUCUCCAGGAGAUCGGAAUCUAAGUCAGGGAUUUAAUGUGCAGUUUAACCUGCAGGUCUCACUGUGUCCAGCACCCAAAUGGAAGAAUCCCUUGCCUGUCUUGAACUCCUCUGGGGCUUUGUGCAGCAUCUCCUUCCCAGCUGGAUUCCCUGGUGAGAGCUGCGCUCCCAAACUGGCACCAUAACCACUUGGCAAUACCAGCAGAAUUGCAUCUGAGCUUCAUCCUCAGACCUCUGAGAGCCUCGUACUCAACACGUUGAACCUGAUCUGACACCAGAGUUGACAGAGAGGGCCUGAUGGGGUUUGAAUGCUCUUAAAACCACACUAAUGCCUCCUAAGAGGGGGAUUAAGUGAUGGGGAUGAGACAGAGCGAGCUCCCCUGCUGUGUGAUCCCACAGACCUUCUCUGAGUGAGCACCUU